GAUGAACGCUGGCGGCGUGCCUAACACAUGCAAGUCGAACGGAGAUGCGAUGUGAGCGAGAGGUGCUUGCACUGAUUAAUCUUUUCGUAUCUUAGUGGCGGACGGGUGAGUAACGCGUGGGUAACCUGCCUUAUACCGGGGGAUAACACUUAGAAAUAGGUGCUAAUACCGCAUAAGCGCACGGUGUCGCAUGACACAGUGUGAAAAACUCCGGUGGUAUAAGAUGGACCCGCGUCUGAUUAGCCAGUUGGCAGGGUAACGGCCUACCAAAGCGACGAUCAGUAGCCGGCCUGAGAGGGUGAACGGCCACAUUGGGACUGAGACACGGCCCAAACUCCUACGGGAGGCAGCAGUGGGAAUAUUGCACAAUGGGGGAAACCCUGAUGCAGCGACGCCGCGUGAGUGGAGAAGUAUUUCGGUAUGUAAAGCUCUAUCAGCAGGGAGAAAAAAUGACGGUACCUGACUAAGAAGCCCGGCUAACUACGUGCCAG
rnacentral:rRNA from 1 species